rnacentral:lncRNA from 1 species
CGGGAGCAGGCAGGGCGCCGGUUGCUGUGAAGAGGGCGGAGGGGCGGGGGCGAGGGCGGCGCAGGCGGAAGGACGAGCCGGGAAGAGCGGAAAAAUCGGCCGAUGGUGCCGCUGCCUCAGUUCUGCCCGCUUCUGUAGCCUCCUUGCUGGGUACAGCGGAGCAGAAAGAGCCUUAGUGUUCCCUCCCAAUCCCCCAGUAAGAAGCUAGCGCUGAAACGUGGGAGGCGUGGUAGCCACCGACAUUUAAUGCCUCUCUCCCGCUCGAUUUCUGAAGGUUCUGCGGCCUGGAGACGGCAUCGCGGGCACGCUUCAACUGUAGGGGACGGUAUUCUGAACAGGCAAGAGCCUGUGACUCAGGGGUGGUCCCUCCGCACCUUCAGAUGAGAAGCUGAAGACGUACAGCUCCAGCCUGACGUCCGUGGGGGGUACACCAAAGCCCCCGAUGUGGCCAGAGGUAACCCAAUAGGCUCCCCCGUUACGCCAGAUUAUCCCUGGAGAAUUCACUCUCCACCACGUGAAAGGAAGAGACGAAAAGUUUGGGGACUCGAUAUAAGUCGGGAAGCAGCAGCUGGUCAGCUCUUUGCAUGCUUUGAGUCUAAUUACACAGAGCACAAAUCCAUUGCCCAUGAAGAAAAGGAACACUAGAAUGAGCCCUCUGAAAAAACCCAGGUGGUUGCCUUGACUCCUCACCUCUGAUUUACCCGCCUUCUCUGCUUCCUAAAGCUAAACAAAGUAUCACUAUGUCCUAGAAGAUGAAGCUCGCCAGGAAGCUGCUGUUUGGAAGCUUUUGUUCACCAAAUGCCUGCGAUUCUCCCAACACACCAUUCUCGUGGUACUCCAAGUGCAGAGGAUUGAGUGGAUCAGAAACUUUCCUUCGAAUAGGAAUCUAUAAUGUUGCUGUGAUGUUUUUUCCUGCACUUGAGUGGUGUUGAAUGCUCUGAGUAAUGAGAGCUGCAGGAGGAGACACUACUGUACACUCUGCCAAGACACAUCACUGAAUCACUUUUUACAAACUCUCAGUGAGUGGACACCCUUCAGUGCCAUCCUAAGUUGAGUAGUGUUC